rnacentral:misc_RNA from 1 species
AACGCACAUUGCGCCCUUUGGUAUUCCUUAGGGCAUGCCUGUUCGAGCGUCAUUUACACCUUCAAGCGCAGCUUGGUGUUGGGCGUCUGUCCUCUGGGACUCGCCUCAAAAAGAUUGGCAGCCACUUCAGCGGCUUUGAGCGCAGCAGAAUUGCGUCCUCUAGCAGCGGAAGGCGGCAUCCACAAGCUUUUUUCCAGUUUGACCUCGGAUCAGGUAGGGAUACCCGCUGAACUUAA